GACGAACGCUGGCGGCGUGCCUAAUACAUGCAAGUCGAGCGGACUGAUGGGAGCUUGCUCCCUGAUGUUAGCGGCGGACGGGUGAGUAACACGUGGGCAACCUGCCCUUUAGCUUGGGAUAACUCCGGGAAACCGGGGCUAAUACCGAAUAAUACAAUUUAACUCCUGUUAGAUUGUUGAAAGAUGGUUUCGGCUAUCGCUAUAGGAUGGGCCCGCGGCGCAUUAGCUAGUUGGUAGGGUAAUGGCCUACCAAGGCGACGAUGCGUAGCCGACCUGAGAGGGUGAUCGGCCACACUGGGACUGAGACACGGCCCAGACUCCUACGGGAGGCUG
rnacentral:rRNA from 1 species